ensembl:lncRNA
UUCCAGCAUGUCUAGGAUUUGGCUGUGAAAGUGGAUGGCUGACAAUCCUGAGAUUGACAAGAUCAUGCAACUUAGAGUUCAGAGUAUGGAAAGGGGUGUCCUCAUUGUCCUUUUCAACUCUCGUCUUGAGAUUCACGGUCAUUUCACCAUGAAUCCAGUUGAGGCACAUGAAUACUUUCUACGACCUUUUCUCUGAAUGGAAAAUGAAUUCUCCUGCACUCAGCAUAUCAAAUCCUGAGAGACAUUCCCAGACCAACUUCGGCCACCUCAAUUUCUGAAAUGUUGUACUGAUUCCUUCUUUAAGAUAUUGUUUGGCCCAAGGUCAUGGAACAUAUGAGUUCAUUCUGCGCAUGAAGCUCCCCAGAGAACAACGGUACACAAUGUCAGUUUGGUUAUGGCAUCUGAAAACUCAUAAAAGUAGACUUUCAUUAAAAGCAGUAUUACCCCCAGCCCUUGUCUUCUGAGAAUUCAUGUAUGAAUAAUUAGGAGUCUGUAAAUAGGGGCCUACCUGUAGUGCACAUUUCUCCUAUUUUUGAAGUAAAAGGAUAUUGCUAUAAAGUUUCUCAAACAUUUCCUACUUUUUCAUCAUUGUCAAGUCAUUUAUUUUUGAAGUGGAGCUUUACAUUUACUUGCAUAUUUGGAGUUAUAGCCCUGUUGUUUUGUUUUAAAUCACAAGAUGAUAAUAAUAAAUCUUUAAGUCCUUUCCUAAAUUCAUCAGUUAAUUGUAAUCCAAUCCUAUAUAAAGUAUUAUUUACUGCCUCUAUAUUCAUCAUUAAAUAAAUAUAAAAUUAAAAGGAGUGUGCCAGUUAAAAACCAACAAAUAAUACUGGGCUUCUGGACUUAUCAGAGAAAUCUAUUAUCAGACUAUUUUAAUCAUUUUCUAAUUGUGCAUAUAAAAGACUGACAGAAAUAUAAUAUAGGUUGUCUUUACUGAGUGGUGGGAGUAUGAGUUGUAUGAUCAUAAAAUUAUAGUCUUAAAUAUUGGAGACAGACAACUCUCACAGCUAGUUUGCCUUUAAAAAGUAAUUGUGAUUGUAUUAGUCAAUUUUGUGUUGCUAUAAAGGAAUACCUGAGGCUGAGUGAUUUAUAGAGAAAAGAUAUUUAUUUUGGCUCACAGUUCUGCAGACUGUACAAAAAGCAUGGCUUCAGCAUUCUGCUUCUGGUGAGGCCUCAGGAAGCUUACAAUAUUGGCAGAAGGUGAAGGGGGAGUUGGCCUCUCACAUGGUGAGAGAGGGAACAAGAGAGAGCGAAGGAAGUGCCAGACUCUUUUUACCAAUCAGACCUCCUGUGAGCUAACAGAACCAGAGCCCACUCAUUACCACAGGGAGGACACCAAGCUUUUCAUGAGGAGCCCACCCCUAUGAAGCAAACACCUCCCACCAGGCCCCACUUCCAACAUUGGGGAUCACAUUUCAACAUAAGAUUUGGAGGGGACAAAUCCAAACUGUAUCAAUGAUCGAGACAGAACUCCUAUUCUUUGGUACAUUCUUGAUUUGUGCAUUUAUUAGAAGAACCUUUGUUGAAUGUGAGAGUACCUUACAUAAAGUAUGCACUAAAUAAAUUGAAUUAAAUUGGCAAUAUGCAAUGUAAAAGACAAAAUAUAAUGGCAGUAUUAUACUAUAUAGAAAUCUACUUAGAGGGUUAA